CAGCAGCCACGGGAAUACGUAGGUGGCAAGUGUUGUCCGGAAUUAUUGGGCGUAAAGGGCUCGCAGGCGGUUUCUUAAGUCUGAUGUGAAAGCCCCCGGCUCAACCGGGGAGGGUCAUUGGAAACUGGGAAACUUGAGUGCAGAAGAGGAGAGUGGAAUUCCACGUGUAGCGGUGAAAUGCGUAGAGAUGUGGAGGAACACCAGUGGCGAAGGCGACUCUCUGGUCCGUAACUGACGCUGAGGAGCGAAAGCGUGGGGAGCGAACAGGAUUAGAUACCCGUGUAGUCCUGUCUCUUAUACA
rnacentral:rRNA from 1 species